rnacentral:lncRNA from 1 species
UCAGUGACGCUUCAGCUGUGUCCUGAAGGAUGAGUAACAAGUCAAGGGGAUGAGAAGGGCGUACCAGGCAAAGGUAGCAGCAUGUGCAAAGGCACGGACGUGUGAGAGAACAUGGCACGUUCUGGUCCAACCUUCUUUGUUAUGGAUGAGGAACCCGAACUUCAGAAAAGUAAGACUCCUGAACGUAUACAGAAACAGAGACAUGGAAAUAAAUUCUGCUCUUGGAGGCCACGUGACUGGUACUCAGCGACUCAGCACCCCAGCCGGAAGGGACAGAAUCAUGCUGCUGACUUCCAGUGCAAACACAUUGUUGUAUGGCCAGCACUGGAGGAUGCUGGGAGAAGAAACAUUCUUACAGGAACAGUUGCUUUCCUGGAAAGGUUAGCUCGCCUGGCUGGGGUUGAGCCAGAAAAGCUGACUCUCACCCUAGCAAGUUCUCUAUCACUCCAAGGCCCUGGAUACUCCAAGAAGACCACCCAACACCAGGCAGCCUCCUUCUGUACCAGCCUCUGGCUUCUUGCCAGUUUGGAGGCUCAUAAUCCAACCAGUUGGUAUGCACCGCUUUCCACCACCUGUCGGUUCUCAGAGAUCUGGUGCAGCUCUCUUCUUUGAAUGACUGUCUCGCAGACAGGAGAACCCAAGAGCAGUUUUCCAAAAUAAUUACCCCUGAAGCCCUGGUAAGUUCAUCUCUUGGGCUUGGCCCUAAUUUGUCUAGGUUUUCUUCAAGCCAGUGAUUGGGACUUGGGUUCCCCCAAUUCAGACAGCUCGACAUUCUUUAAUACAGGGAUUCUGGGGGCACCAAACAUGGAUCCUUAGGGCAAGUCACAUAAAUCACCUCUUUAGGAGAAAAGCCAGUCUGAGAUGGUGAGACCUGAAAACCGUGAACAAGAUUUUGUAAGCAGAAAACUAGUUACCGUCAAUAGGGUGCCAACCAGGAAAACGUUAUCCUUUAAAGUGUUUGAGCAAGCCACGUUCGUCUCCUGGCACACCUGUCCCCUAUUCAGUGUUAAGAACCAGGGCCAAGUGUCUGUGCAAAGCUGUAAACACAGCCAGACCGUCAUCAGAAUAAUGGAGUCAAUGUGUAACUGAUACAAUUUGUACCAACGGCGCCCCCUACUGUACAGCCGCAAAACGAGGCCACUCGUGGUGGACCAUUCAGGUUUGCAGAAUAUUUUCAGUCCCAUCCCACAUUGGAAGGGGACAUUCCUGGCCACUAGGGAGUUGUUCUGAAGCAUGUUUUCAAUACGGCAGACAGUUUUAUGGGCAAAGGCUCCUAGAGGUUACCUCAGCCUCCAACACAAACAAGAUGCUUGGUGAUUCAACCAUGUUCUCUGUGGGCUCUGAGUGUCUGUCUUUCUAACACUCGGCUCUCACUGGGCCAACACUCACCGCAGUCAAAUGCAGUGGAGGAUGACUUGUGACUACAGUUGAUCCCUGUGUAAAGGAUUAACCUAAGGCACCCAGAGUCUUGGGUGGGCGGAGGUUAUCCCUCAAGCCUCACCGGCUGGUAUGAGAGUGAAAGGGGCCGGCCAAAGGUCAGGAAUGCGGGCCUUCCAGAGAGGGGAGCUGCUCCACCAGCCCCACAGCCGAGGCCUUCUCGCCCGCCACCUCCGGAAAGGACCGCGUCUCAGCCUUCACACCUUACCCCGUCCACCGCGGCCCUCAAUAUUUUAAACGUAGUCUCUCUCCUCAGUCCGACUGUCCCUUUCUUCCCAAGAUCACCCAGCCUCUGCCUCUGUAUUUGUCACUCCUUAUCUGUUCAACAAUUUUUUUUGGGGGGGGACCAUGAUAAUGCUGUUCUAGGAAGAGGGGCUAUGGCAUGAACAUGAAACAUGGAGCAGACAUUCUCACUGGGGAUACAACUGUGGAAAGACAAGCCUGUGCCAGCGCUGUGAACGCCCUGCAUAAGCCAAGCUGGGAGCGGGUGGGAGAGUGAGGGAGGCUACUGUAUACGGGGGUCUCUCGGCAAAGCACUUUGAAAAAGCUUCAUGCUCCGCCCUGGCAUCUGUCUGCUUGCUCCCCUUUGAAACCGGGAUGGCCUCUUCCAUAAACCUUCCCCAGGUCCCCUUCCCUCUCCAGCGGCAUUCCCUUCAGCUCAUCUCUGCUCAAGUUCCUUCAUUCCUGUAAAGACACACAGUUCUAUCUUUGAUUAUAAUCUACCAGAGCAUAAGGGUCUUGUCUACGAUUUGCAACAGGUCUUUCUACUCCGCGAGAGAAAGAGUCACAAAGUCCUUCAUCUAAUCCCUGCAAAACACCUGCAGACUCUGGUUAAGUGUCCCCAUUUUAUUUUUUUUGUCUUUUGAGGGCCGCACCCGUGGCAUAUGGAGGUUCCCAGGCUAGAGGUCGAAUUGGAGCUAUAGCUGCUGGCCUACACCACAGCCACAGCAAUGCCAGAUCCAAGCUGCAUCGGUAACUUAUACCACAGCUCAUGGCAACACCGGAUCCUUAACCCACCGCGCAAGGCCAGGGAUCGAACCUGCAUCCUCAUGGAUGCUAGUCAGAUUCAUUUCUGCUGAGCCACAAUGGGAACUCCAAACAUCCCCAUUUGAUAAAUAAGGAAAGCAAAGCUUUGUUAAUUUUUUAAUUUUUAAUUUUUUUUUUUGUCUUUUUGUCUUUCUGUCAUUUUAGGGCCACACCGUGGCAUAUGGAGGUUCCCAGGCUAGGUGUCUAAUCAGAGCUGGAGCCACCGACCCAUGCCAGGGCCACAGCAAUGCCAGAUCCGAGCCCUGUCUGCAACCUACACCACAGCUCACAGCAAUGCCAGAUCCUUAAUCCACUGAACAAGGCCAGGGAUUGAACCCGAAACCUCAUAGUUCCUAGUCGGAUUUGUUUCCAUUGUACCACUACGGGAACUCCAAGGCUUCAUUUAUUGAAGGGUGCACAACUACUGAGUGCUGGAGCUGGGGUCUGAACCCUGAUCUAUUUAGCAUCGUGGGUUGUAUUCUUCCUACCCUGGAGCCUGGAGUGUCUGAUAAGUGUUGUCCGUGAGUGAUGAGCACAGCGAAGGGAUGCGCUUUGUUUCUGGGCAAAUCGCCGUGUGCAAGAAGUGAGUAACCCCACCCCCGUCUCCUGGAUUGGAAAGCCUUGCUUUGCUGCUAACCCUUGACCACAGGCACCGGAUGUGUUCUCGCCUUCUCUGUACACCGAGGUUAGACCACGGGGGCCUCCCAGGUCUUUUCCAGCUCUGACAUUCUGAGGACUAUCAUCUGCCAGGAAGGGGAAGGAUGGAGGGUGGGGAGAAGUCACGUCACUGCAUGAAAUCUGAUUCUUUAAAUUAAGAGACAGAGAACACAACACAAGAGCUUGUUCCUUCCAUCCAUCACAAGUCACAUACGCUUGUGGAAUCUAAAAUACGAUACAAGUGAACUUAUUCGUGCAAUGGAAACAGACUCACAGACAUAGAGAACAGACCUGUGGUUGCCAAGGGAAGGGAUUGUGGGAGGGAAGGCCUGGGAGUUGGGCAUUAGCAGAUGCAAACUGUUAUAUACAGAAUGGAUAAAAAACAAGGUCCUACUGUUGUAGGACAGGGCACGGCACAGGGAACUAAGGUCAGUGUCUUGUGAUAAACCACAAUGGGAAAGGAUAUGAAAAUAACACAUACAUCAUAAUGGAAAAGAAUAUGAAAAAGAAUCUAUGUAUAUCUGAAUCACUUUGCCGUACAGCAGAGAUUAACACACCAAUGCAGAUCAACAAUACCUCAAUAAAAUAAAAACUUAAAAAUUCA